rnacentral:rRNA from 1 species
GUGCAGCAGUCGCGAAACCUCCGCAAUACACGAAAGUGUGACGGGCCAUCCCGAGUGCCGUCCGCUGAGGACGGCUUUUCCCCAGUGUACAUAGCUGGGGGAAUAAGGAGAGGGCAAGCCUGGUGUCAGCCGCCGCGGUAAUACCAGCUCUCCGAGUGGUGGGGACGCUUAUUGGGCCUAAAGCAUCCGUAGCCGGCUGGGCAAGUCCUCCGUUAAAUCCAACGAUUCAAUCGUUGGGCUGCGGGGGAUACUGUCCAGCUUGGGGGCGGGGAGGCCGACGGUAUUCCCGGGGUAGGGGUGAAAUCCUAUAAUCCCGGGAGGACCACCAGUGGCGAAGGCUGUCGGCUAGAACGCGCCCGACGGUGAGGGAUGAAAGCUGGGGGAGCGAACCGGAUUAGAUACCCGGGUAGU